rnacentral:rRNA from 1 species
UCCACGCCGUAAACGGUGGGCACUAGUUGUGGGGACCUUCCACGGUCUCUGCGACGCAGCUAACGCAUUAAGUGCCCCGCCUGGGGAGUACGAUCGCAAGAUUAAAACUCAAAGGAAUUGACGGGGCCCCGCACAAGCAGCGGAGCAUGCGGCUUAAUUCGACGCAACGCGAAGAACCUUACCAAGGCUUGACAUAUACAGGAAUAUGGCAGAGAUGUCAUAGCCGCAAGGUCUGUAUACAGGUGGUGCAUGGUUGUCGUCAGCUCGUGUCGUGAGAUGUUGGGUUAAGUCCCGCAACGAGCGCAACCCUCGUUCUGUGUUGCCAGCAUUUAGUUGGGGACUCACAGGAGACUGCCGGGGUUAACUCGGAGGAAGGUGGGGAUGACGUCAAAUCAUCAUGCCCCUUAUGUCUUGGGCUGCACGCAUGCUACAAUGGCUGGUACAAACGGCUGCAAUACCGCAAGGUGGAGCGAAUCCGAGAAAGCCAGUCUCAGUUCGGAUUGGGGUCUGCAACUCGACCCCAUGAAGUCGGAGUUGCUAGUAAUCGUAGAUCAGCAACGCUACGGUGAAUACGUUCCCGGGGCUUGUACACACCGCCCGUCACGUCACGAAAGUCGGUAACACCCGAAGUCAGUGGCC